rnacentral:rRNA from 1 species
GACGAAGGUGGCAAGCGUUGUUCGGUGUUACUGGGCUUAAAGCGUGUGUAGGCGGAAAGGUAAGCGUCGCGUGAAAGCCCCCGGCUUAACCGGGGAACUGCUCGACGAACUGCUUUUCUUGAGGCAAGUAGGGGUGCACGGAACUCUUGGUGGAGCGGUGGAAUGCGUAGAUAUCAAGAGGAACGCCGGUGGAGAAAUCGGUGCACUGGGCUUGUCCUGACGCUGAGACACGAAAGCGUGGGGAGCGAACGGGAUUAGAUACCCCUGUA